UGCAUUAUCCUCGAAUGCAAUUACAAAAUAGAACGAAUGAAAAAAAAUGAAAAGAAAAAUGUAAAACGAUUUGAUAUCGUGCUAUCAAUGGUUAUCAAACUAUUACUAUCAAAAUAACUAAUUAGACAUAUCCCUGAAAACGUCUGCGGAAGAUUGACUGAUCGACUAAAAGAAAAGAGGGAAGAAAAAGAACAAACUGGUGGAAGAAAAACCAACUUCGAUGAAAUACGAUGAAAAAGCUAAACGAUAGAAUAUUUCAGAAUAAAAUUAAGAUUGUUAAAUGAUACUUAGUGUGUUACAUACAAAAAUGACCAUGUAGAUUAGUAUUAUUAAUUUAUGUUAUUCACGUUAUCAACAAAACUGUUAUGUACAUCACUAUUGUCCAAAAGUGGCAGAUGGUGGCACAUUUCUCUUUCACUAUCAUUACUCUCUCCAGAUAAUUGCCUAUGAAGAUAUAUCACUCUUAGAUAAUGCUGAUAUACAUAAAAUGCAAACGCAAUAUACAUUGCAAAUACUAUUAUUGCUUCAGUUUUAAACUGUUAAUACUUAAUUUACUUAUUUUUUAUGAUUUAAUAUCGUACUUAGAAAAAUAUAAAUGAAUUUAUUGUAUUAAUAAAAUUAUUAAUCUG